AUGAACGCUGGCGGCGUGCCUAAUACAUGCAAGUCGAGCGAACAGACGAGGAGCUUGCUCCUCUGACGUUAGCGGCGGACGGGUGAGUAACACGUGGAUAACCUACCUAUAAGACUGGGAUAACUUCGGGAAACCGGAGCUAAUACCGGAUAACAUGUUGAACCGCAUGGUUCCACAGUGAAAGACGGUCUUGCUGUCACUUAUAGAUGGAUCCGCGCCGCAUUAGCUAGUUGGUAAGGUAACGGCUUACCAAGGCAACGAUGCGUAGCCGACCUGAGAGGGUGAUCGGCCACACUGGAACUGAGACACGGUCCAGACUCCUACGGGAGGCAGCAGUAGGGAAUCUUCCGCAAUGGGCGAAAGCCUGACGGAGCAACGCCGCGUGAGUGAAGAAGGUCUUCGGAUCGUAAAACUCUGUUAUUAGGGAAGAACAAAUGUGUAAGUAACUAUGCACGUCUUGACGGUACCUAAUCAGAAAGCCACGGCUAACUACGUG
rnacentral:rRNA from 1 species